CGGAUGAACUGAGGGUAGCGGAGAAAUUCCAAUCGAACCUGGAGAUAGCUGGUUCUCUCCGAAAUAGCUUUAGGGCUAGCCUCAAGUGAUGAUUAUUGGAGGUAGAGCACUGUUUGGACGAGGGGCCCCUCUCGGGUUACCGAAUUCAGACAAACUCCGAAUGCCAAUUAAUUUAACUUGGGAGUCAGAACAUGGGUGAUAAGGUCCGUGUUCGAAAGGGAAACAGCCCAGACCACCAGCUAAGGUCCCAAAAUAUAUGUUAAGUGGAAAAGGAUGUGGCGUUGCCCAGACAACUAGGAUGUUGGCUUAGAAGCAGCCAUCAUUUAAAGAGUGCGUAAUAGCUCACUAGUCGAGUGACACUGCGCCGAAAAUGUACCGGGGCUAAACAUAUUACCGAAGCUGUGGAUUGUCCUUUGGACAAUGGUAGGAGAGCGUUCUAAGGGCGUUGAAGCAUGAUCGUAAGGACAUGUGGAGCGCUUAGAAGUGAGAAUGCCGGUGUGAGUAGCGAAAGACGGGUGAGAAUCCCGUCCACCGAUUGACUAAGGUUUCCAGAGGAAGGCUCGUCCGCUCUGGGUUAGUCGGGUCCUAAGCUGAGGCCGACAGGCGUAGGCGAUGGAUAACAGGUUGAUAUUCCUGUACCACCUAUAAUCGUUUUAAUCGAUGGGGGGACGCAGUAGGAUAGGCGAAGCGUGCGAUUGGAUUGCACGUCUAAGCAGUAAGGCUGAGUAUUAGGCAAAUCCGGUACUCGUUAAGGCUGAGCUGUGAUGGGGAGAAGACAUUGAGUCUUCGAGUCGUUGAUUUCACACUGCCGAGAAAAGCCUCUAGAUAGAAAAUAGGUGCCCGUACCGCAAACCGACACAGGUAGUCAAGAUGAGAAUUCUAAGGUGAGCGAGCGAACUCUCGUUAAGGAACUCGGCAAAAUGACCCCGUAACUUCGGGAGAAGGGGUGCUCUUUAGGGUUAACGCCCAGAAGAGCCGCAGUGAAUAGGCCCAAGCGACUGUUUAUCAAAAACACAGGUCUCUGCUAAACCGUAAGGUGAUGUAUAGGGGCUGACGCCUGCCCGGUGCUGGAAGGU
rnacentral:rRNA from 1 species